rnacentral:rRNA from 1 species
AUUGAACGCUGGCGGCAUGCUUUACACAUGCAAGUCGAACGGUAACAGGUUAAGCUGACGAGUGGCGAACGGGUGAGUAAUGCAUCGGAACGUGCCCGAUCGUGGGGGAUAACGCAGCGAAAGCUGCGCUAAUACCGCAUACGAUCUGAGGAUGAAAGCGGGGGACCGUAAGGCCUCGCGCGAUCGGAGCGGCCGAUGUCAGAUUAGGUAGUUGGUGGGGUAAAGGCCCACCAAGCCGACGAUCUGUAGCUGGUCUGAGAGGACAACCAGCCACACUGGGACUGAGACACGGCCCAGACUCCUACGGGAGGCAGCAGUGGGGAAUUUUGGACAAUGGGCGAAAGCCUGAUCCAGCAAUGCCGCGUGCAGGAAGAAGGCCUUCGGGUUGUAAACUGCUUUUGUACGGAGCGAAAAGGUCCUUUCUAAUACAAGGGGCUCAUGACGGUACCGUAAGAAUAAGCACCGGCUAACUACGUGCCAGCAGCCGCGGUAAUAC